rnacentral:misc_RNA from 1 species
CAAGAAACGAGGCCGCGUGCGCUCGCCCGCCCGGCCCCGCUCCUUACCUUGCCUACUGCACCGUUUGUUGCUUCCUGGCGGCGGACUGCCCGCCGGCAGGGACGUUGAUACAACCCUGUAUAGAAGCAUUGAAGCUCUGAGAAAACGCGAAAUCGUA